AUUGAACGCUGGCGGCAGGCCUAACACAUGCAAGUCGAACGAGUGGCGGACGGGUGAGUAAUGUCUGGGAAACUGCCUGAUGGAGGGGGAUAACUACUGGAAACGGUAGCUAAUACCGCAUACCAUCAGAUGUGCCCAGAUGGGAUUAGCUAGUGGGUGGGGUAACGGCUCACCAAGGCGACGAUCCCUAGCUGGUCUGAGAGGAUGACCAGCCACACUGGAACUGAGACACGGUCCUGCCUCCGACGGGAGGAGGCAGUGGGGAAUAUUGCACAAUGGGCGCAAGCCGGAUGCAGCCAUGCCGCGUGUAUGAAGAAGGCCUUCGGGUUGUAAAGUACUUGCAGCGCGGAGGCGUUACCCGCAGAAGAAGCGCCGGCUAACUCCGUGCCAGCAGCCGCGGUAAUAC
rnacentral:rRNA from 1 species